rnacentral:rRNA from 1 species
GUGAGGAAUAUUGGACAAUGGGCGCAAGUCUGAUCCAGCCAUGCCGCGUGCAGGAAGACGCAUCUAUGGUGUGUAAACUGCUUUUGUACGGGAAGAAACACUCCCUCGUGAGGGAGCUUGACGGUACCGUAAGAAUAAGGAUCGGCUAACUCCGUGCCAGCAGCCGCGGUAAUACGGAGGAUCCAAGCGUUAUCCGGAAUCAUUGGGUUUAAAGGGUCCGUAGGCGGUUUAAUAAGUCAGUGGUGAAAGCCCAUCGCUCAACGAUGGAACGGCCAUUGAUACUGUUAGACUUGAAUUACAAGGAAGUAACUAGAAUAUGUAGUGUAGCGGUGAAAUGCUUAGAUAUUACAUGGAAUACCAAUUGCGAAGGCAGGUUACUACUUGUGGAUUGACGCUGAUGGACGAAAGCGUGGGGAGCGAACAGGAUUAGAUACCCUAGUAGUCC